CCAGAGAAAGUUGUAUUUUCAUCCCUCUACCAAAGAUAACCUGUUAAUCCAGAUUGGAAGAACUACAGCACAUAGAUAAUGCAGCAUUCUUACAUCAAAUGCAGUCCCUUUGCCGUAGACGAAUCAUAGAAAAAUAUAUGACAACAUACUAGACUCAAUCGCAGACAGUGCAGUUUUCAACAAACUUACUUUGAACAUUACAUUGCGUCUGCAGUUCCAUAAAAUCAAAACUUAUACUGGAUUAAUUUCAGUGAAUUCCAAGUCUCUAGCUGAAGCAUGAUCAAUAGCAGAUUUCUACUAUUUUCAUCAUACUAGGUAAUAAAACCUCACCAGGACACUUUUCUUAGCAACUUUUACCAUAUUGGUCAUUAACAUCAGCAAGUCCAAAUGUGUCUCCAGAAAUUGAACUGUCUUCACACGCUGUAUCCGGGAAAAAGAGAAUAUCUGGAAAAUGUUCUUCCCAGCAUAAGAAUAUGAUUAAUAGCAUGUAUAACAAACAAAUCACUUAAAACGCUUCAUAUAACAAGCAAAUACAUCUACAGAAGCCACUGAGUUCACAAUGAUCAGGUUUUUAUAAAGUGAAGCAUCAGUCAUUCAAUCACUUCAUAAAAUUGCAAUCUUGCAGUUUAAACAUGAUAUUUAGAAGUUCAGAACAUUGUUCCAUACAAAAGAGAGGUCCUCAGAUAACAUAAGAGAGAGUUGCUAAUUUAAGAGAGUGGAAAGGUAUUGCCCACAUGCACACAUAACAUUUUUCAUCAGUUUGGUUACUCGGCAACCAAAUCAUAUGUAUCUAUAAGAUUCGAAUCUUUGGGUUGGUAAACAAUUUGUUUGAUCAAGCCUCCUAGCUUGUCAUUGUGUUGAAU
rnacentral:lncRNA from 1 species